CCUACGGGAGGCUGCAGUGGGGAAUAUUGCACAAUGGGGGAAACCCUGAUGCAGCGACGCCGCGUGAGUGAAGAAGUAUCUCGGUACGUAAAGCUCUAUCAGCAGGGAAGAAAAUGACGGUACCUGACGAAGAAGCCCCGGCUAACUACGUGCCAGCAGCCGCGGUAAUACGUAGGGGGCAAGCGUUAUCCGGAGUUACUGGGUGUAAAGGGGGCGUAGACGGCGGUGCAAGUCUGGAGGGAAAGCCCGGGGCCCAACAGCGGGACUGCUUUUGAAACUGCCCGGCUAGAGUGCUGGAGGGGUAGGCGGAAUUCCUGGUGUAGCGGUGAAAUGCGUAGAUAUUAGGAGGAACACCAGUGGCGAAGGCGGCUUACUGGACAGUAACUGACGUUGAGGCUCGAAAGCGUGGGGAGCAAACAGGAUUAGAUACCCGAGUAGUC
rnacentral:rRNA from 1 species